rnacentral:siRNA from 1 species
UGGUCCAACCUGGUUGACCCGAUG